rnacentral:rRNA from 15 species
CGGCUGUCGUAUCAUUGGUCCUAAGGUAACAAAAUUCGUUGACAGGUAAGUUCCGUCCAGCAUGAGCGGUGUAACGACUUCCUCACUGUCACUAGCUUGGUCUCUCAGAAAUUGAGUCAUCCUUGAUUACGAGGAAGCCAACGGCCUGACGAUAAGACCCUGAGCACCUUUCCUUCUCUCUUUUUCCUUCAUUUAAUGGGUGCUCAGG